rnacentral:rRNA from 1 species
GAUGAACGCUAGCUGCAGGCUUAACACAUGCAAGUCGAGGGACCGGCGCACGGGUGAGUAACACGUAUCCAACCUGCCCUUUACUCGGGGAUAGCCUUUAGCAAGAAAGAUUACUACCCAAUGUAAAGGGUGGGGGUGCGUUCCAUUAGGUUGUUGGUGAGGUAACGCCUCACCAAGCCUUCGAUGGCUGGGGGUUCUGAGAGGAAGGCACCCUAGAUUGGAGAUGAGGCACAGACCAAAACGGUACGGGAGGGAGGAGAAGAGAAUAUUGGUCAAUGAGCGUUAGCCUGAACCAGCCAAGUAGCGGGAAGGAGGAAGGCUUUUGGGUCGUAAUCUUCUAUUAUAUAAGAAUAUGUAUUAUAUGAAUAAGGAUCGGCUAACUCCGUGCCAGCAGCCGCGGUAAUUC